GCAAAUGCGAUGAAGAGAAGAGUAGAACGCAGAAAAAUCCCAGAGAGAGAGGUCUUAGGCUGAGAGCCUCUUAUUACAGAAGCGUUUGAAGACCACCUCCGAGCGGCUGUAAAACAGUCCGGCUGGAUACCGUUAUCAUCCACAAAGAGGUCCUGGAAAUCAGGACAAGCGGGGUGGAACCGCGGGUAUACAAAGUAACUCGUCCUCUGC
rnacentral:ncRNA from 1 species